UACGGGGGGGGCAAGCGUUGUUCGGAAUCACUGGGCGUAAAGGGCUCGUAGGCGGCCAACUAAGUCAUACGUGAAAUCCCUCGGCUUAACCGGGGAACUGCGUCUGAUACUGGAUGGCUUGAGUUCGGGAGAGGGAUGCGGAAUUCCAGGUGUAGCGGUGAAAUGCGUAGAUAUCUGGAGGAACACCGGUGGCGAAGGCGGCAUCCUGGACCGAUACUGACGCUGAGGAGCGAAAGCCAGGGGAGCAAACGGG
rnacentral:rRNA from 1 species